UGGGGCCAGUCUGUGGUACCUAAUUUCAAGUUGUCUAAACUUUAGUUCCUUUCUUAUCUCUAAGCUUCAGGAUGUCCUGCAAACACAGUCAAUCUGCCUCAGUUAUCACAGCAGGGGGCUAAAGGGCAGGGCCUGUGAUUCAGAAGGAAUUCAGCAGAGACAAGCAGUGGGCGGAUGUGGUGGCCGCUGAAUGGCAGGAGAUGAUGGGUCCAAGGAUGCAGCAUUGGUUGAGCUAUCAGUGACUGAGGAAUGAUUAAUGAAACAUGUAAACAUUCCCCAGAGAAUUCCCAGAAAUACACAGAGAGCAGAACUUGGUAACAGACUUUCCUCUCUGAAGAUAAGUAAAUUGUAUAUUAAAGGGAACUGUGACCUCACAGACCGAUGAAAUUUGAGACACUCAAGCUGCAUAUGCUGCUUCUGGGCUAUGAGUUCUGUGUCAUAUCUUAGCUUCCUUUUUCAGACAAUACAUCUUUGAUGAUCGAAAACAACAACAGCCUGAAAAAGUUCCUUGUAGUUCUAGGAGCCCAAUAGUCCAGAAUACAGUCUUUAUUAUGUUCUUCUCUGGAUAAAAGAACUGGUGGACUUUAUCACAUAAUCCAAGAAUGAAGAAAACAAAAAUCUCAAAACCUACCUUUAGGAACAAAAAGGGCACAUAGCAGGAAGCUGAAAUAUAGAACGUCUUCUGAGAGCACGGAGAACAUUUAGCAAAAAGUGGAAAAUCUGACAAUACUGUACAGUCACAGUCUUCCUCUCCAUAACAAUAAUUUUUCCUCCUCUCACUAAAAUAGAGCAAUUUUUAUUGUCACAAGCACAUGUGUAUUACUGGCAAUAAGGAUAUAGCUGUAUAGGACACCUCCUUAAACAUCUUCUUUAUUUUAAGAUUCAGUUAGGGGGAAAUGACUAGGCGUUCCCAGCACUUUCCGGUUGCCACGGAUACCUGUCAUCCACAUCCAGAGCCUGCAGGUUACACUCAGCGACUCUUGCCAGCUCAUGAAUAAUAUCGCUGAAGCCCGCUGCUGCUGCGAUAUGUACACAUGUCUUCCCACUCUCGUCAUCAUAGUUGAUUAUGGACGGCCCCUGGUGAUGGCUCAGGAUGAUGGAGCACAGAAUCCUAUUUCCACUCUGGAAAAGAGAGUCAAAGAAAGCUCAUUAUGUACAAUCCAGUGUUCUUCUCUGUCUAGGCAUGUUAAGAUAAAAAUACAAAGGAGAAAAAGGAAAAAGAAAGAAAGAAAGAAAAAAGAUGAAAAGAGAAAAGAAAAUGGAAAAAAAGAAUAAAAAUACAUUCUAUCUAA